GACGAACGCUGGCGGCGUGCUUAACACAUGCAAGUCGAGCGGUAAGGCCCUUUCGGGGGUACACGAGCGGCGAACGGGUGAGUAACACGUGGGUGACCUGCCCUUAGCUCUGGGAUAAGCCUGGGAAACUGGGUCUAAUACCGGAUAUGACUCCAUGACGCAUGUUGUGGGGUGGAAAGCCUUGUGCGGCUAGGGAUGGGCCCGCGGCCUAUCAGCUUGUUGGUGGGGUGAUGGCCACCAAGGCAACGACGGGUAGCCGGCCUGAGAGGGCGACCGGCCACACUGGGACUGAGACACGGCCCAGACUCCUACGGGAGGCAGCAGUGGGGAAUCUUGCGCAAUGGGCGAAAGCCUGACGCAGCGACGCCGCGUGGGGAUGACGGCCU
rnacentral:rRNA from 1 species